UAGAGUACUAUAACUCCUUAAAACCCACUGUGAAUAUACCUAUCGUUGCUUCGGCGGGAUCGCCCCGGCGCCUCUAGGCCCGGAUCCAGGCGCCCGCCGAGGGCCCCAAACUCUUGUUUCUGCUGUGGCAUUAUCUGAGUGGCUUAUAGCAAAUAAUCA
rnacentral:misc_RNA from 1 species